rnacentral:lncRNA from 1 species
AUUUUUCCUUCCAGGCUCCGGUGGGUACUUGGGUUGGUGGGUUUCUGGGUUCUGUCUUACAUUAUUUUGCGGCACGGGAAAUGGGGCUCAGCGGUAUUUUACCAAUUGAGCCACUCUUUUUGACUUUUGAGUCUUGUUAAGCUGCCUAACCUGAUCUCGACCUAUCGAUCCUAUUGUCGUUACCUCCGGAGUCGCUGCCAUUAUAGCCGUUAGGUCGCGCGCUCCAGAUCUCUGUUGUCUUACCUAUUGGCGGGCUGGGAGGGAAGGUCUCCUCCCGGACCUAGUCAGUUACUUCUAUUGGGGCUUUGUGAAGGACAAAAUGGCGAUAGCGGGCCGAGCCAGGCGCCCUCCCAGUGAUGAGGACAUUUUCACAGACCUGUGCUGAAUUCCGUGAGGAUAAGUAACUCUGAGGAGACCGGCGCUGCACAGCUUGUGUCCCCUGCGGCCGUUGCUUGGUAGAAAGCAUUUUUAAAAUAUCCUAUACUAAUCUAAUGUUUUGUCUGCAGGGUUAAGGCGCACAUUCGCCACACAACAAUCGAAGACAGCCCUCUGGUUGGAGUAAGUGGUUUUGGCCAUCUAGUUCUUGUUCUUUGGGCUGGAAGAACUAUUGGAUGUGCUACAGGGAUGAUUUAUGAUUUGAACUCUCUCUUUCUGAUGGUUUAGUGGAGAAAAUGUAAAAGUUCUGAGUAGCGCUACCCAGGAGUUUUGUUUUCCUUGGGUUUUAAGUUGAGGUGUUAGUGAAGGGUGUUCUAUUUUCAGAUGUGCUUCGGCUCAAAGAUGUGUGGUGUUUGGAGAAUGCACGGAGAUCAUCCCUGCAAUUACAGCGAUCCUCCAUGUAGGUAUAUAUGGCUUAUGGAAAGGGAGUGUUUAUGGAUAACCACUCUAUGAUGAACAUAAAAUGACAAGCAUAUGACUGAGUUAUAAGUGAUGUCAUUUUAAUCCUGAGGAGUGGGUCAGGGGUUUAGAGUAGUUUUGAAGGUAAUUCUUACAGGUACAAAUAAAUUUUUUUUUUUAAUCAGAGAUCGAACCCAGGGGCACUUAACCAGUCCCAUUUUUGUCUCCACAUCUCAUGACCUAUCCUGAGGAAUUUGAUUAUCUCCAAGAGUGAAUGCAGGUAAUUCUUCAAAUGGGAUCUCUGAUUAUUUUAUCGCAAUUGUUCUCCACAAAAAGGAGGGCAGAUGGUCAAUGGAGCUGUGUUGCCUUUUUGCUCCAUCCACCUUAUCCAUCUUGUUCCUCUUGGAGCAAUUUUCUGGGGGAGGGAAGACAGCAACCAAUAGUCAAUUGAUUCUUGUAAUGAUGUGCUCUUCUCUCAUCCGUGUAUCAACUGUCAGAUGAUUUGAAUCAGUAUGCUGAUGAUCUGUGAGGUACAAUGGUAAAUAGCAUGUUAGAGUUCUGAUGGCAGUUGUUGAUAAUGAAAAAAAAUGUCCAUCCUAAUACUUUGAAAUAACCACAUGUUCCUCUUUCCCAGGGUUUCCUGAUAACGACAAAUUUUUCCAUUUUAUGGUAAGUUGCUUCUACUAAUAGCUAUUGUAAAUUAUGUAAAUAAGAGCAUAUUACUGGGCUGGGGAUGUGGCUCAAGCGGUAGCACACUCACCUGGCAUGCGUGCGGCCCGGUUCAAUCCUCAGCACCACAUACAAAGAAAGAUGUUGUGUCUGCCAAAAACUAAAAUAAAUAUUUUUUUAAAAAGAGCAUGUUAUCAUUUGUAGGGUGGCUUUACCAUCAUGGUAUUGGUUAAAGACUAUAGUGCCAGUAAGAACAAACAUCUUGUCUUAACUCCCUGCUCUAGCCCCAGAACGAGUAAUGGUGAACCCACUGGUGUAGCUGGGAGAGAGGAAGGAAACUUGGUUCCAUGAGGAACUACAUGAGGUCCAGCAAAUGGCAAUAAAUAGCCUUUGCUUUGCUUGUCAUUAAUAGUAGCUGGAUAUUUUGAGUACUUUGCUAAUUUAGUGUGUUUUUCUGAUUCAUUCAGGAGCAACUCAUUUCCAUAUACUGAUGAAAAUACUCCAGCAUUAGCAGGUUAGUAGGAUUUUUUCCCUAAUUCAUGGCUUAUGCCACCAAGUUUCUAUGAUGACCCAAACUAGCUCACUAUGAUUGACAAUGAAAAUAUAUGAACACCUGAGAAACUGAAGGAUAGAGAAGUGGGGCAAUAUCCUGAUAUGCCACAUAUACAUAGUAUUUUACCUGUUUUUAAAUUUUUCAGGUGCUGUUACCAAUGUCUACUUACUGGUUCAAAGGUGAGUAAUUUCAGUAUGUGUUAAGUAUAUAUAGCAUAUUGGGUAGGAAAAAGUGCCUUUUAGGCAAAUAUACAUGAUGACUUAUGGAAUCUCGUUCGGCUGAUGUUUUGCUGUUGAGACUCGGAAAUCUGAUUUCCUAGAAAUAAUAGGUGGGGAUAACUGAGGCAGGACAUAAGCAUUACUCAUUUGAUCUUGUUUGUUUCAGGUCUAGCAUCUUGUCUGGAUUCCAAGAAUGAUUUGAGGUACAUACCUUUGCAAUAUUUAUGCCUAUCAUGUAGCAUCAACUUUAUGGUCUGUGGUGGUACUUUGGUCUGAGUAGCCAUAUUUGGAUCACCAGUGGUGAAUUCCUGCUCACCAGUGAUGAGUUGAAUACCGCCCCAGUCUGAUCAUUGUGACAGAAAGGUACACUCUGAGUUGUGAGCUCAUCUUAACAGUAAGCAAUAAGAAGAUGGAUAGGCUUUAUAGCCAAUAACUUUCUAGGACUAGGUUUCUAUGAAGUGUGCUUUUCCUUUAAGCAAUAAAGAGAUGACUUAAUUCCUAAUCUCUUUCCAUUACAGAGAAAGCAAGUCAUAUCUGCCUAACUUCAACCUGAAGUUAAAGGUGAGUGGACUAAGGUGAAGGUAAAGUACAGUAAGCUAAAAAUUUCCCAAUGAAGAAGCAUUUCACACGUCUUACUUCCUGUCCUAGUCCCAGAGCCUGUAAAGGUGAACCCACUGGGGCUGGCUGGGGGAGAAGAGGAAAGCUUGUUCCAGAAGGAACUGUCUGAGGGAUGAUCAGAAUUUCUGUAAAUGGAAAAUGGAAGAAGAAUCAGUUUGAAAUAAGUUGUCUUUUUUUUUUUUUCUUCCAGCCCCCAAGUCUGAGGAAAGACAAGAUGAAGAUAAAUGGUAGGCUCAUUUUCAAUUUAGUUUGUAAUAGAAUAAAUCCAGAGUACCUAGAAUCAGCCCUUUAAUGUUUGGUUUAAAACCUUGCCCCUUGUAAAUUCAAAGGGUGUGUGCAUUAUGUACAUUUUUAUUUUCCCAUCCAAUAAAGAUUCAUCUUUCCUCAGCAGGCAUCCAUCCAAGUCUUGGAGGACAUCAGAUUUCCAGAUCUUUCCUUGUGCAUCCUAGCUGUUCAAGUUAACACACAAUCAUUUUGAUCUUCCUAAUAAAGCUCUUUUUCUUAAUCUGUAUGAUUCAUUGGUUUGGAUGAGUC